UCAGCACAGAGCUGGAUGUCAGUUAAAGUAACUGUGUCAGGAGCUGACAGCUCUUCAUCUCCUGUGUGGUUGAUUGUUGGACUGGUUUGUGGAGUCUCUCUCAUUAUUAUUCUCCUGCUCUUGUUGUAUCGCUGCAGAAGAACCAACAGUGCUGUUAAUGAGCAGAUGCUCAAUCAAGAUCAUCAGCAGCAAGUGUACUCCUCUCUUCUUCAUGGAAAUCGUUGUGGCUAUGAGGUAAUCAGAAGAUCUGAAAACACUGGAAGUGGUCCAGCAGAAGAUGUUUACGCCAAUGUCGCAUCUGUGAUUCAGCUCAAGGUCAUUAACAAGACAACAGGGCAACGUGGUGACCCAGAGGAGAGCUCUGACUACAAUAAUGUCAAUCUGUCAGGGUGUUUGGUGUUUGACUCAGCAUUCUGAGGUUAUUUUGGUUUUGUGAGUCUCUCUGUGAUCGUGUGAACAUGGUCUAAGUUUAACUUUAUACAGUUCAGCCUUGAGUUUAGUGCUUUCUGUGUUUCUGAGUUUUCUUGUAUUUCCAGUUUAUGCUUUAUUGUCUGUGAGGUUCCUCUUGUGUCUUUGUCUCAUCCCUGUGUCUAUUGUGUGAGUCUCUCAUGUGACCCAUAUUUACGCUCCCUUGGCCUCUGUGUAUCUUAGUAGUGUUUUGUCUUCCUUACCUUUUGCCCCGUUUUUCUCCUUGUGUUUCAGCUUUUGUGUCCCUGCUUGUUUCUGCUGUUUCUGCAUGAAGCUCGUGCGUUCAUGUACUUCCUGUUUUAUUUUUACAGUCUUUGGUCUCAUGUGCAGUGUGUUUGGUUUUGCUUCCCUGUCUCAUUACAUUUAAUUCAUCAGAGCUGUUUUCUGAUGUGUUUCCACUUUCCUGAUCACCCUCUUGUGCAGUGUUGGGAAGGUUACUUUUCAAAUGUAUUCCACUGCAGGUUACAGAAUAAAUGCCCCAAAAUGUAUUUUGUAACGUAUUCAGAAUACGUUACUCAAUGAGAGUAAAGUAUUCUGAAUACUUUGGAUUAAUUAAUAUACUGUCAUGCUUUUUACAACUACAUGAAUGUACUAUUUGUUUGUGAUGUAUUACUAUUACUUAAUGUUACUUGCCAUACCAAUACCAACUAGAUUUUUACAUUUUAAUAUAAAAUGAGUAACAGUAGGUGGACAUUAGGUAAGGCUGCACUUUUUGCAGUGAUCUCAUAUAGAAAACUAUUCCACGCGUAUA